AACCUGUUUUGAAUUUGCCCAAUUGAAUGCGUCAAAUGGUUCAAAAUAUUUGUCGAAUUUCGCAACAUUUUGUUUGCUCGUGGUAAAUUUCUGGUUGGAUUUGUCGGUGGAAAUUGUGUAUAAAAGGCGAUCGAAUCGAUGAGAAAAUCAUUCGAAUUGUCAGCUUCAUCUAAGAGAGGUCAAUUGAAAGCUAAAUCAAAAUCAAAUUCAUCAUUAUCGCUGUUUUAUUCGCUGGAGCUUGUGUUGCUCUUCCACAACUCGGUGUUCCUGUUCUACCUGGCAGUGGUCUUGGCAAUAUCAGUAGUUUUAUUAACGGUACUGCUGGACGUCUCCCCGAUGGUCUCGUUGGUUCCGGUGGUCUCCGUGGUCUUGAUCUACCUGGCGUUAGUGAUUUAUAUCCUGGUGCUUCGGCCAACGCCAACGCUUAAAUGGAAACAAAUCAACACUAUUUGUGAAUAUCUUGCACAACAUCUGAAAUGUGAACUUUUAACAAAAAUAUUUCAAUAAACAUUUUUGAACAAUUUAAA